rnacentral:lncRNA from 1 species
UGCAGGGCCGUCCCUAUGAAAUAGGAGGCUCGGCUCUCUAUUUAAAAUAGGCCCCCAAUAAAAUAAAAAUGCAAUUUUUUUGUGUAGCUAAGCUUUAUUAAAAAAUCAGAAUCAGAAGAGCUUCUAAACAUGAAACGAAAUACAAAAAAAUUAAGUGAAAGAGAGGUAGAAUUUACUAACGGUGUCGUUUGGAUUUGUCACUUAUCCGUUGUGGGAAAGGGGAAAACGAAUGGUUUAUAUGAAAAAGAAAUGAUUGUUGUGAUUCUUUCAAUGAAAUAGCUUUUCAAAUUGACUGAUUA